UCCGGACCCCCGCAGACCUGGGGAGAUGACGAACAUUACGUCACGUGAUCUGAGCGGAUAUGUGGAGAGACGCAAAGCAUAAAGCGAGCAACGCUCGUUCGGCCACAGACCAGGACCAAGUCCGGUCAACUCUAGAAUGUGGCUCUUGAUUUUCUUAGUCUGGAUGGUCAUAUGGGCCGGUGGUACAUACUGGUACCUGUUUGGAAAGCCGAGCCCUUUCUCUCUGGAGUCACUGAGCCCACCUGGACCUCGUGAGUUUGACCAGAGAAAGCGCAACCAAGUCCUCAAGCAAGGUUUCAAACUCAGCAAGGUGCCUCAGAGUCUGGACGUCAUCGUCAUCGGUAGUGGUAUCGGUGGGCUGACAGCUGCAGCCACACUGGCCAAAGCAGGAAAGAGAGUCCUGGUGCUGGAGCAACAUGACCAGGCAGGAGGCUGCACUCACACCUACAUAGAGAAAGGCUUUGAGUUCGAUGUUGGGCUUCACUACAUUGGUCAGCUUCAUGAGAACAGUCUGCUGCGUGUCGCUUUUGACCAGCUCUCUGAGGGCCAGCUGGAGUUCCAGCUGCUAAACCAACACUUUGAGACUAUCCAGAUUGGCCUGGGUGAUGAGAAGCGAGAGUACACCAUCUUCUCCGGUAAAACUGAGAUGAAAGCCCAUCUGCUAAAACAAUUCCCUGAUGACACUGAGGCCAUUGAGGCAUUUUUCAAAAUCAUGAAGAUCUCAGCUAAGAAGACAAACUAUCUGGCAACUCUGAAGCUGAUCCCUCUGUGGUUGUCUCUAUUCCUGCUCAAGUCAGGCAUCGCAGACCUCGUCUCCCCAGUGUUCCGCUUGUCUGGCACAUGUGCAACAGACUUUGCCAGCACCCUGACCAGCAACAAGGAUCUCCACCUCAUUUUCGCUUAUCUUUUCUAUGGUGUGCCUCCAAAAGACUCCAGUGUUUUGAUCAACGCUCUCAUGCUUCACCACUACAAGCGAGGUGCCUACUAUCCUAAAGGUGGGGCCAGCGAGAUCGCCUUUAAUAUCAUCCGCACCAUUCAGAAAUACGGAGGAAACUGCCUGGUCAGAGCGCCUGUCUCCCAGAUCCUGGUGAACAAGAAGGGAACAGCUUACGGUGUGAAAGUGAGGAGAGGACAGGAGGAAGUGGAGGUCCAUGCACCUGUGAUUGUCUCAAACUGUGGCAUCUUCAGCACCUUCCAGAAACUUCUUCCACCUGAGAUUCAGGUCAAACCUGAUAUUCAGGAAAGACUGAACCUGAUGAAACAUGGCAGAGGAUCGUUGCUGCUCUUCUCUGGCUUUGACGGAACCGAGGAGGAGCUGGGCCUUGUGUCCACAAACUUCUGGCUGUUCAAAAACAACGACAUGGACAAGUCGAUGGAUGACUUCUUCACACUGAGCAAAGAGGAAGCACCAGAAAACAUUCCCAUGAUGUUCAUUACAAUACCGUCUUCCAAAGAUCCAGAAGCCAAACUAAGGCACCCGGGAAAAUCCUGUAUGACGAUACUGACCAUGGUGAAGUAUGAAUGGUUUGAGGAAUGGAAGGACACAACUGUGCAUAAAAGGGGUGACGAAUACUACAACUACAAAAUGAGAUUUGCUAAGAACCUCUUUGACUGGGCCUGCACUGUGUUCCCUAAACUCAGAGACAAGCUGGUUUUCCAGGAGGCGGCGACCCCACUGACCAACAUGCACUACCUGGGUGCCCAGCGUGGAGCUAUGUACUCAGCUGAGCUCAACCUGGACCGUUUUCAUGCUGAGGCUGUGGCAAGGAGCAGGUGCAACACUCCUGUCAAAAACCUGUACAUCUCAGAUGUUGAAGCUCCACCCCACCACUGGCCUGCUUCAGCCUCCCACAGCCAACAGCCACAGCUGCAACCAGUCUGAAUAUGAAAGUUUCAGAAGACCCAGUUGAGAGAGACUCAGAUGAUAGUACCCAAGAUCGAACAGUGCUUACAUGCACGAGCAGGGAUCCCACUGAUGCAUGAAAAUCUCAUUUCAACUUCAGUGCUUUGGUCCCUUUAUUUGAGGAAAUGCAGCCAACUGAAUGGGAGGGAGGCACAUUGUUACAGAGAAAACAAAGGUAAUCACCACCUGCUUAAACCACAAAGCCACAACGCUGUAUUGUGUGAUCACAGUUUACAGUGUCUCAGAACUGUGCUGAUGGUAACAGUCCAGGACUGAAAGUGUUAGAUGGUUUCAAGUUCAUGGCAAGAAUGUGGGAAUGUUACAUAUGAAUAAUUAAACAGGCAAAAAAAAAAUUAUUAUUGUUUACAAGGGUAAGAAACCCAUUUUCUACUAAUAAUAAUGCUCCUGUGGCUGGAUGAAAGAGCUAAUCUCUUCAGUCUUUUACGUCCAUCUGCUCUAUGUGAACGCAGCUCCUCCUUCCAGCAGAUGCUUCGCACAUGAUCACACAGAGUCUCACAUUUCACCUUCUCCACUGAACCAGCCCACAGUCCACUGAGUAGCCUCAUCACAGUAACAUCUGCAUUCGUCAUCAAUGCUCCUUCAGCUCUAUGUUUACAUGAUGAGCCAGCUUGUGAAGUCGGGGUAAAUGCUCGGAGACAGCGUGCACUAGAGGGGGCUCUUGUGAGGGUGUGAUUCCAGCCAAGAGACGACUCCUCACGUGGCAGUGAUACAGACAGCCAUCAUUCUCCUUAUCUGAAUCAA